AACCUAAAACUACCUUGAUUCACACAAAUUUUUAACAUAGUUUUAGAGCAAUUCAAAUAAGGUACAGCCUAUUUGAAACAGGAUACAACCUAAACCUGAGGGUAAUAUUUCUGCUAGCCGAUAAAGUAGGCCUAAAAGCAGCCACCUUUUAAACAGCGUCAUAGCUUAGUCGCACUAUUAACUUAAUCCCAAAAGCUUCUACGAACCCCACUUCACCAUCAAGCAAUUCUAUACAACUAUAGAAAUUUUUAUGUUAAAACUAGUAACAAGAAGACCCAACUUCUCUUUAAUGCAAGCAUAAAUCAGACAGGACAAACCACUGAUAUUUAACACACAUGAUCCCACAGUAGAAACGCUACAAGAGAACUCUACUAAACUUUAUGUUAACCUAACACAAGAGCAUUACAAGAAAGAUUAAAAGAAAAAGAAGGAACUCGGCAAAUCUUAACCCCGCCUGUUUACCAAAAACAUCGCCUCUUGCACACUCAAUAAGAGGUCCAGCCUGCCCAGUGACCCUGUUCAACGGCCGCGGUAUCCUAACCGUGCGAAGGUAGCGUAAUCACUUGUUCUUUAAAUGAGGACUAGUAUGAAUGGCAUCACGAAGGUUAUACUGUCUCCUCUCUCUAAUCAGUGAAACUAAUCUCCCCGUGAAGAAGCGGGGAUGAUCAUAUAAGACGGGAAGACCCUAUGGAGCUUUAAACUAAGAAGCAAUUGCCCUCAUACCUUUGAAAUUCCAGAAAACUAAUGAGUACAAGGCACCGUGACUUCCAGUUUUAGGUUGGGGUGACCACGGAGUAAAAACUAACCUCCGCACUGAAUAGGGGCCUUCCCUAAACUAAGGGCCACAACCCUAAGAAUCAAUACAUUGACAGCAAUUGACCCAAAAAUUUGAUCAAUGAACCAAGUUACCCUAGGGAUAACAGCGCAAUCCACUUCAAGAGCUCCUAUCGACAAGUGGGUUUACGACCUCGAUGUUGGAUCAGGGUACCCCAGUGGUGCAGCCGUACUAACGGUUCG
rnacentral:rRNA from 1 species